rnacentral:rRNA from 1 species
AUGAGCCGCUUCGACGGCCGUGCGGCGGACCCCAGCUCCUACCGCGACCGCCGCAGUGAGGGGGCGUUCGGUGGCGGGACGAGGGCGUUCGCGCCGUCGGGAAAGCCGGAUGCUGCCGCCGCGGCGGCCGCGGCGGAGCUGGACGGGCUGCCGCGGUUCGAGAAGAACUUCUACGUGGAGGUUCCCGCGGUGGCCGGCAUGACGGCGGAGGAGGUCGAGGCCUACCGCCGCCGCCGGGAGAUCACCGUCGAGGGCAACGACGUGCCCAAGCCGGUGCGCGACUUCCGCGACGUCGGCUUCCCAGAAUACGUGUUGCAAGAAAUCACAAAAGCUGGCUUUACAGAACCUACCCCUAUCCAGUCACAAGGUUGGCCAAUGGCACUGAAGGGGCGUGAUCUUAUUGGCAUUGCUGAAACAGGAUCUGGAAAAACACUUGCUUACCUUUUACCUGCCAUUGUUCAUGUUAAUGCUCAGCCUAUUCUAGCUCCUGGUGAUGGUCCGAUUGUUCUUGUGUUAGCCCCUACACGUGAACUUGCUGUCCAGAUACAGCAGGAGACAACAAAAUUUGGUGCAUCAUCAAAGAUAAAAAGCACAUGCAUAUAUGGUGGUGUCCCAAAAGGUCCUCAAGUUCGUGAUCUUCAAAAAGGUGUUGAAAUUAUUAUAGCCACGCCAGGAAGACUAAUUGAUAUGAUGGAAUCACAUCACACAAAUUUGCGGAGGGUCACAUACCUUGUUUUAGACGAGGCAGAUCGAAUGCUAGACAUGGGUUUUGAACCUCAGAUUAAGAAAAUUGUUUCUCAGAUUCGUCCAGAUCGACAAACUCUUUACUGGAGUGCUACCUGGCCAAAGGAAGUUGAGCUGCUAGCAAGGACUUUCCUUUUUGAUCCAUACAAGGUUAUAAUUGGUUCUGAAGAACUGAAAGCUAAUCAUGCCAUUUGUCAGCAUGUAGAGAUAUUAUCUGAGAGCCAGAAGUAUAACAAGUUGGUCAAUCUACUGGAGGAUAUAAUGGAUGGCAGCCGAAUUUUAAUAUUCAUGGACACCAAGAAAGGGUGCGAUCAGAUCACCAGACAGCUUCGAAUGGAUGGUUGGCCUGCUCUGUCUAUCCAUGGUGACAAGAGCCAAGCUGAAAGAGAUUGGGUUCUUUCUGAAUUCAAGUCAGGGAAAAGCCCCAUUAUGACAGCUACUGAUGUUGCUGCUCGAGGCUUAGAUGUUAAGGAUGUCAAGUAUGUCAUUAACUAUGACUUUCCGGGGUCUCUGGAGGAUUAUGUUCAUCGCAUUGGUCGAACUGGCAGAGCUGGAGCAACAGGGACAGCCUACAGCUUUUUCACGGCUGCUAACGCCAGAUUUGCCAAGGAUCUUAUUAGCAUUUUAGUUGAAGCCGGACAGAAGGUCAGCCCUGAAUUAGCUAAUAUGGGCCGUGGUGCACCACCUCCUUCUUUGGGUCAUCGUGAUAGAUACAGAGGGCAUGGAGGUGGUCGUUCAUGGAGCUGA